rnacentral:tRNA from 1 species
UAAAGGCACCUUUGAAGAAGUACUAUAUAAGCGUUAAAGCCCCUUCAAUUCCU